CCUACGGGUGGCAGCAGUGGGGAAUAUUGGGCAAUGGGCGCAAGCCUGACCCAGCAACGCCGCGUGAAGGAAGAAGGCUUUCGGGUUGUAAACUUCUUUUGACAGGGAAGAGUAGAAGACGGUACCUGCCGAAUAAGCCACGACUAACUAUGUGCCAGCGCGCGCGGUAAUACGUGGGUGGCAGGCGUUGUCCGGAUUUACUGGGUGUAAAGGGCGUGUAGCCGGGUUGACAAGUCAGAUGUGAAAUCCUGCGGCUUAACCGCAGAACUGCAUUUGAAACUGUUGAUCUUGAGUACGGGAGAGGCAGACGGAAUGCGUGGUGUAGCGGUGAAAUGCGUAGAUAUUAGGAAGAACACCAGUGGCGAAGGCAGUCUGCUGGACAGCAACUGACGGUGAGGCGCGAAAGCGUGGGGAGCAAACAGGAUUAGAUACCCGGGUAGUC
rnacentral:rRNA from 1 species